UCACCCCUGGUAAACCACGCUUCGUUUCAAGUCUUAGUAAAAACACAUUUGAAAUAACUAUAACAUGGAGUAAACCAGAUGACAAUGGUGGAUCUAUUAUCACGAGAUAUUUCAUCAGAGUGAGUCAUGGAGAUCGGAUUAUUGCAAAUACCGAGACAGGAACAGGGAACCUUCAAUAUAAAAAAGAUAAACUGAAAAGAAAUACGACCUACACGUUUUGUGUAUGGGCUGAAAACAUCGUGGGAAAUGGCAACGAAACAUGUGCAGAGAUAUCAACAUUGUAUGCAGGUAUGUUUUAUUAAUAUAUUUAAUUAUAUAUUUUCACUUCA